GAGCACCAAUUAUGCUAAUAAAUUAGCACGUUAGCACGUUAUUGUAAUAUCCCAUAGUACAUACAUGUUAUUAAAACUUGAACUAAUGCACUGUGAGUCUUAUAAAUUGCUUACAUACCUCACCGAUUUCUGCAUGUCUGGAAAACGCUCGGAUUUAGUUCCUGUCUCCGCCUCCCAAAAUGUCUAGUGUAUUCGGAUUGGUCAGAUGACUACUCAACUGUUAUUGGUCAACUGGGUUCGGCGUGUGUUUGAAAGGUUACGCCCCUGACUACGCGUGGGUUUUCCGGUUCUGACUGAGAGUCACAGGCAACGUAAACAAGCGCUAUAUUUCUCUAUAAACGAUGGUGUCUGUACUGCCUUACCACUUCAAGCUCGAUCCAGAGAGUUCAGACGGCCGUUACGAUAUAAACGAUCUCCGUCAAUGAACGCGAUUGGAUUUAACUUUUUUAGGUGUCCUUAGCUCUGCCAGAAUGCUAAACGAAGACGAAAAUGUGUUGCAAAGACAUCCAAAAGGUUUUAAGGAGAAUGCAACAUGUUCCAGGGCCUCUUACCUGCGUGAUUCAUCAUCCAGGUUUUGCACAAAUUGUCUAAAUCCCUACACACAGAACAUUUAUUGUACUGACUAUAAGCCUUUGAGGUGCAGGACUAGAAUACGCUUGGAGCUUCCUGAUCAGAUCGGUCACAAUUUUGGCUUUCGACGACCCCUGCACUGAAGAUGGCAUGCAAUCACGUCCUCCUUUGAAGGUCUCUCAAACUGUGAUGCCAGGUCCAUUGGAAUCGGGGUUUCC